CCAGAUGGGGAUUAGGCUAGGUAGGUGGGGGGUAACGGGCUCACCUAGGGCGACGAUCCCCUAGGCUGGUCUGAGAGGGAUGACCAGCCACACUGGAACUGAGACACGGUCCAGACUCCUACGGGGAGGCAGCAGUGGGGGAAUAUUGCACAAUGGGCGCAAGCCUGAUGCAGCCAUGCCGCGUGUAUGAAGAAGGCCUUCGGGUUGUAAAGUACUUUCAGCGGGGAGGAAGGGAGUAAAGUUAAUACCUUUGCUCAUUGACGUUACCCGCAGAAGAAGCACCGGCUAACUCCGUGCCAGCAGCCGCGGUAAUACGGAGGGUGCAAGCGUUAAUCGGAAUUACUGGGCGUAAAGCGCACGCAGGCGGUUUGUUAAGUCAGAUGUGAAAUCCCCGGGCUCAACCUGGGAACUGCAUCUGAUACUGGCAAGCUUGAGUCUCGUAGAGGGGGGUAGAAUUCCAGGUGUAGCGGUGAAAUGGCGUAGAGAUCUGGAGGAAUACCGGUGGCGAAGGCGGCCCCCUGGACGAAGACUGACGCUCAGGUGCGAAA
rnacentral:rRNA from 1 species